ACGGAAGGUCCGAGCGUUAUCCGGAUUUAUUGGGUUUAAAGGGAGCGUAGGCCGGAGAUUAAGCGUGUUGUGAAAUGCAGAUGCUCAACCUCUGCACUGCAGCAGGUACUGGUUACCUUGAGUACGCAUAAAGUGGACGGAAUUCGUGGUGUAGCGGUGGAAUGCUUAGAUAUCACGAAGAACUCCGAAUGCGAAGGCAGCGCACUGGGGCGCAACUGACGCUGAAGCGCGAAAGUGUGGGUAUCGAACAG
rnacentral:rRNA from 1 species